rnacentral:snRNA from 1 species
GUGCUCACUUCGGCAGCACAUAUACUAAAAUUGGAACGACACAGAGAAGAUUAGCAUGGCCCCUGCACAAGGGUGACACACAAAUUCGUUAAGCAUUCCAUAUUUAA